CUUUCAACAACGGAUCUCUUGGUUCCGGCAUCGAUGAAGAACGCCACGAAAUCCGAUAAGUAAUGUGGACCGCAGUNCUCAGCGACUCAUCGAAUCUUUGAACGCAUAUUGCGCCCCGUGGUGACCCCAUAGGGCACACCUGUCCGAGCGUCAUUGGCC
rnacentral:rRNA from 1 species